UGGAGGCCCCACGUAACUUACAAUCAUAGCAGAAGGGGAAACAAAUACAUUAUUCUUCACAUGGUGGUGGAGAGAGAAAUGCCAAGCAAAAGG